rnacentral:rRNA from 1 species
UACGGAGGGUGCGAGCGUUGUCCGGAAUCAUUGGGCGUAAAGGGCGCGUAGGUGGCGGGACAAGCGUGCGGUGAAAGCCUGGGGCUCAACCCCGGGUCGGCCGUGCGAACUGUUUUGCUUGAGCACUGUAGAGGCAGGCGGAAUUCCGGGUGUAGCGGUGGAAUGCGUAGAGAUCCGGAAGAACACCGGUGGCGAAGGCGGCUUCCUGGACCGACACUGACGCUGAGGCGCGAAAGCUAGGGGAGCAAACGGG